GCGCUCAGAUACAGAGGAAAGCCCCGGAUCCCCGACGGCUUCCAGGACAGUGGGGGAGGCGGUGCGCAGUGUGCGGCCCGCAGAGAAGUCCAUGGCCCAGCUCCCAAUGCUGUGAACACAGCCUUCAGGAAAAGGGGUCUGUGCAGAUAUAAUUAAGGAUUCAAGAUCCUCCUGCAUUUGGUCUGGGUCCUAAAUCCAGUGACAAGUGUCCUUACAAGAGACAGAAGAGGAGAGGAGCACAGAGAGGGAGGCCGUGUGAGCCCAGAGCAGAGGUUGGAGUCGUGGCCACAGGCCAAGGAACCCUUCAAGCUACAGAAGCUGGAAGUCAGGGCAGGACCCUGCCCGAGCCCCUUCUGAGGAAACAAGGCCCGGCUGAAACCUAGACUUCAAACAUCUGGCCUCCAAACUACAGAAAAACACAUUUCUGAUGUUUUCAGCCACGAAGUUUGUGGAGAGUUCUCCCGGCAGCCCCGGGGCUGGAGCCAUCACCUCUGGCACUGGGGCCUCUUCAGCCUGACUCCUGUGUCCUCUGAUAUGACCCUGUGGCUUCCCCAACACAUUAUGAACAAUUCAAGAACACAGGAAAAACGGAAAUAAAUUUACGACAAACACCCAUGUACAUACCUGGCACCCGGAUUCUACAAUUCUCAUGUUACAUUUGCUGGAUCAUGUAUUCACCCCAGCCCAUCUCCUGUUCCUGAUGGACUUCAAAAUAAGCCAUAGCCACCUGCCCGCUUCCCGCAGAGACUCCAGCUCACACUUCACUACCUACCUACCAUGUCAUCAAUUACAUUUAGAAGUGAAACCGUGCUCAGUGAAACGCAUGUGCCCUGAGGGUGCCAUUCCAUAGUUUAGACAAGUGCAUACACCCGUGUAACCCAAGCCCCUAUCAAAAUAUACACACUACCACCCCCCACGUUCUCCCCUGCCCAGCUCCAUCAAACCCCAUCUCCUCCCCUCUGCAAAGGCAACAACUGUUCUGAAACUUUUAAAACCGCAGGUCACUUCGGCCUGCUGUAGAACAUCACAUGUGUCAAACCACGUGGUCUGUAUUCUUUCCCGCGGGCUCUGGGUGAUAUGUGCGGCCGGGGUCCUGGCAGUCGGUUCCCUCGCGUGGCUGAGCGGUGUUCCACGCAGGAGUGUUCCGAUUGCUUAUCCACUUCCUUGCUGGCGGACCCCGAGCUGUGUGCCAUGUUUGGCUCAGGUGCCUGACGUCUCCCACAGGUUCAUGGGUGCCGUGGCUGAGGGAAGCCUCGGGUCCGGAGCUGCAGGUGCUGCAGGCUUGACCUUGGAGAGAUGUAUCCCACUACUUGAUCCUCGUACCUUGACUGCGAAGACGUGGCUGACACCGCUGAAAGCUGGUCCCUUCCAUUUGCGUUGCAGCUGUUGAGCAGAUGACGCAUAGUUCCUCGGUGUUCUGUUUUCUUCGUUUGGUUUGAGAUGGACUCUCGCUCUCUUGCCCAGGCUGGAGUGCGAUGGAGCGAUCUCGGCUCACGGCAGCUCCGCCUCCCGGAUUCGAGUGAUUCUCCUAUUUCAGCCUCCCAAGUGGCUGGGAUUAUAGGCAUGCACUACCUCGCCCAGCUAAUUUUGUAUUCUUAGUAGAGAUGAGGGUUCACCAUGUUGGCCAGGCUGGUCUCAAACUGCUGACUCGGGUGAUCCGCCUGCCUCGGCCUCCAAAGUGAGGGGACUACAGGUGUGAGCCACCGCGCCCGGCUCUUUCCCUGUUUUAACAGGUACCUUACCUCCUGGCCUGACUUGGGGGUGCUGGCUAGUUCCCAAUGUCGGGAGUCUUUGAGUUCCAAACUCCUAUAAUGCCUGCUGAAAUUGCCCCAGGUUAACGAUGUAUUUUAUUAACCCACCUGUUUCUGGAGCAUUAAUUAGAUUAUGAGUUAAAAAUGGCCUCCCAUACAGCAUUCCAUAUGGGCUCACUUUUUUUUUUUUUCCUUACAGGAAGUUACAGAUUCCUAAGUGGGCUCGGGGGAGUGAGCCGGCCCUAGUUUCUGAUGUUUCCUGACCUAAGCUAACUCCUGUUUUAGGGUUUCUACUUUCCCAGAGGACUGAGGCCUCCAUACUGAAUGUAACUAGUCUUCGACUCUGAGAGCCUUAGCGACCCCUUGAGUUACUUACCACUGUGGAGGCUCUGGGGUAACCGGAAGCGGGGACCGUUUCCUUUAAGAGAAACUUUGUGACCUGGUUGGAAUUUGCAGGCUUGGUGAUCUUUUCGCUCCUCUGAGUGCGUCAAGAAACUUUGCUCGGGCCCAAUUAGGGUUGGUGAUGGGCAUCGCCUCUGGCCCAGGUGACUGCCCUGCGGAUUUCAGGCAGACCUGUCGUCCGCCUUGCGGCGGGCAGCCUCAAUAACCCUUUCCUUUUCCAUAGGAGUGAAGCCGGUUGCCAAAAUGAAUUGGACCUCUCUCCAUGAAAAAUAGAAAGCCAAAGUUUAGAAACCAUCUGUGACGCUGCCGGGGUCCUCAGCGCCCCUUCCCAACUGUUCCUGACUUUGUCGCAUGACAGUCAUGGAAAGUAGGACUGACACUCAAGCUGGCCCUCCUGCCUUAACUUCCCUGAGCAGCAGCAGUGCUGGGAGCUGCUGAGUCGGCUGUUCCGCUUCCCCUGUGUAGGGGCUUCUGUAGCUUGCUCCUCUGGCUGGCCUGGCAUAGUUGGAGCAUGUGGCAAAGGGUCAUAGGUGGCCAUAGUUCCCUCUGAGAGACAGUGACCUUUGUAGGAGAGAGGCAUCUCCAAUGUCUGGCUCAGUCUUAGGACUUCCUUUCUGAGGGCUAGUGUCAGGAGAUUUAUAGAUUGAAGGAUUCUGACAGAAAGCCAUAAAGGCUUCAGUGUAUGGCAUUUCUGACCAUCUACCCACCUUUUGCAAAAUAAGUAUAAUUGUAGGACAGUGUUAAGAUGAAGCCUUCAAUUUCUUGGCUGUCGCUCCUGGCUGUCUAGCUGACACUGUGGCCAGAUAAUAUUACAAUAAAAACUCAAGCAUUGGCUGGGCA
rnacentral:lncRNA from 13 species